CCCGCCCCACUGCGCUGCCCACGACGGCCAGACCUCACCAGGAUCCUCUGCGCUGCGCUACCCACAUUUCGCACCCACACCGCAACAAACUCGUCGUCGCCGUCGUCGCCAGGAAACGCAUGUGACCCGCUGCGGUUUGAGGCGAAUUCUCUGCUGGUGUCCGUGUCCGUUUGAUGCUGAAGGAGGACAGGUGGGGAGGGACGGAGGGGAUCAUGGACUUCAGGAGCAGCAACGGCGGGUCGUCCUCGGAGCGCGCGCCGGCGGAGGGGGCGCCGCUGGCGAGGCAGGGGUCCAUCUACUCCCUGACGUUCGAGGAGUUCCAGAGCACGCUCGGCGGGGGCGCCGGCAUGGGAGGCAGCGACCUCGGCAAGGAUUUCAGCUCCAUGAACAUGGACGAGCUGCUCCGGAGCAUCUGGACCGCCGAGGAGAGCCAGGCCAUGGCCGCCUCGGCCUCGGGCGCGGGCGCCGGCCCACCGCCCACGUCUCUGCAGGGCCAGGGCUCGCUCACGCUGCCCCGCACCCUCAGCGCCAAGACGGUCGACGAGGUGUGGCGCAACCUCGUGCGCGAUGACCCGCUUCCGGUGGGGCCGGAGGGUGCCGAGCCGCAGCCCCAUCGGCAGGCGACGCUCGGGGAGAUGACCCUGGAGGAGUUCCUGGUCAAAGCCGGCGUGGUGCGAGAGAUCCCCACCGCUCCUGCGGUGCCGCCCCCGCCCAUGCACCCGCGGCCGGUCCCUGUUGUCCCUAAAGGCCCUUCCUUCUACGGGAACUUCCCGAGCGCCAACGACGCCGGUGCGGCGGCGCUGGGGUUCCCGCCGGUCGCCAUGGGGGAUCUGGCCUUGGCCAAUGGGCUCAUGCCGAGGGCAGUGGGUAUGGGAGGCGCCCCCCUGGUUGUGCAAACUGCGGUCAACCCGGUUGAUUCCGGCAGCAAGGGGAGCGAGGAUCUGUCAUCGCCGUCGGAACCAAUGCCGUACUCGUUCGAGGGGAUUGUGAGGGGGAGGAGGACUGGCGGCGGCGUGGAGAAGGUGGUGGAGAGGAGGCAGAGGAGGAUGAUCAAGAACAGGGAGUCCGCCGCCAGGUCCCGUGCCCGCAAGCAGGCUUAUACAAUGGAGUUGGAAGCCGAAGUUCAGAAGCUCAAGGACCUGAACGAGGAACUGGUGAGGAAACAGAAAGAGAUACUGGAAAUGCAGAAAAGAGAGGCCCCUGAGAUGAAGGAUCAGUUCGGACGGAAGAAGCGGCAGUGUUUGCGGAGAACGUUGACCGGCCCCUGGUGAGGAGGAUCAAGGAGUCAGGCAUUCCACCGGCCUGCCUGCUUUGUACAUAUAAUUUGCUCUAUUGUAAACCGAUGAUGGACCAGACCUGUGCUUGGUUGACCUGCUAGUUUCCUUUCUCGUGCUGCUUCAGAGACCGCUGACCUGUAGGCUAGUGUGUAGUCGAGGAGGGGAGCCGUAAGAACCGCUGUAAUUUGGCAGUCCUUCAGAAUCUAGUUUGUAGAGCUUGUCUGGGUUUGCAUAACAUCAGUCUUUUUCUUCUUCUUCUUCUUCUAACUUUGCGCCUUAGAGACUAGUACUAGAUAAGUUGGGUUUGAGUUUCAGAUGUCGAUGUAACUAAGUCCUGGGAUCCAAGAAACGUCCUACACCCGGCUUCAUGUUUGGCUAGUCAACCGAAGUUUAUAUAUCC
rnacentral:rRNA from 1 species